rnacentral:rRNA from 1 species
ACGAGCGCAACCCUUNUCCUUAGUUGCCAUCAGGUAAUGCUGGGAACUCUAAGGAGACUGCCCCGGAAAUCCGGGAGGAAGGUGGGGAUGACGUCAAGUCCUCAUGGCCNUUAUGUCCAGGGCUACACACGUGCUACAAUGGNCGGUACAAAGNGUCGCGAANCCGCGAGGUNGAGCCAAUCUCAAAAAGCCGUCCUCAGUUCGGAUUGGAGUCUGCAACUCGACUCCAUGAAGGUGGAAUCGCUAGUAAUCCCGGAUCAGCAUGCCGGGGUGAAUACGUUCCCGGGCCUUGCACACACCGCCCGU